CGGCAUGCCUUACACAUGCAAGUCGAACGGCAGCACGGGAGCAAUCCUGGUGGCGAGUGGCGAACGGGUGAGUAAUAUAUCGGAACGUGCCCAGUCGUGGGGGAUAACGCAGCGAAAGCUGUGCUAAUACCGCAUACGAUCUCUGGAUGAAAGCGGGGGACUCGCAAGGGCCUCGCGCGAUUGGAGCGGCCGAUAUCAGAUUAGGUAGUUGGUGAGGUAAAGGCUCACCAAGCCGACGAUCUGUAGCUGGUCUGAGAGGACGACCAGCCACACUGGAACUGAGACACGGUCCAGACUCCUACGGGAGGCAGCAGUGGGGAAUUUUGGAUAAUGGGCGCAAGCCUGAUCCAGCAAUGCCGCGUGCAGGAUGAAGGCCUUCGGGUUGUAAACUGCUUUUGUACGGAACGAAACGGUCUGCUUUAAUACAGUGGGCUAAUGACGGUACCGUAAGAAUAAGCACCGGCUAACUACGUG
rnacentral:rRNA from 1 species